rnacentral:piRNA from 1 species
GUCAGGUAAUUCGAAUGUGGGAGUC